CCCGCUGAACUUAAGCAUAUCAAUAAGCGGAGGAAAAGAAACUAACAAGGAUUCCCCUAGUAACUGCGAGUGAAGCGGGAAAAGCUCAAAUUUAAAAUCUGGGGGUCCCUGUGGCCCUCCGAGUUGUAAUCUAGAGAAGUGCUAUCCGCGCUGGACCGUGUACAAGUCUCCUGGAACGGAGCGUCAUAGAGGGUGAGAAUCCCGUCUUUGACACGGACUACCAAGGCUUAUGUGAUGUGCUCUCCAAGAAUCCAGGUGGUUGGGAAUGCCGCUCUAAAUGGGUGGUAAAUUCCAUCUAAAGGUAAAUAUUGGCGAGAGACAGAUAGCGAACAAGGACCAUGAGGGAAAGAUGAAAAGCACUUUGGAAAGAGAGUUAAACAGUACGAGAAAAUGGUGAAAGGGAACCGCUUGGAGGCCGGCGCGUCGCCCAGAAAUCAUCCUUGCUUUUGCUUGCUGUACUUUCUGGUCAGCGUCUCAGCAUCAAUUUUGACCGGUGGAUAAAGAUCAGGGCAAUGUGGCAUCUUCGGAUGAGUCAUAGCCCUUGGCUUCAUACCUCGAUUGGGAGAGAGGAACUCACCAUCCCGCAAGGCCGGGUUGUCACCCACGUACAUGCUUAGGAUGCUGGCAUAAUGGCUUUAAUCGACCCGUCUUGAAACACGG
rnacentral:rRNA from 1 species